CGGACCACUGGUACGAGACGGACGCCAGGAAGCACAGGGACAGGUGCAAGGCCUUCAACACCCGCCGGGUCGACCCCGGCUUCAUUUACAACAAUAACAACAACUUGCCGCUCCGGGCGAGCCGCUCGCGCCUGGACCGCUGGGAGGGCAAACUCCUCCGGGCCCGGAAUCGCCGGCAGCUGUUCGCCAUGAGCCCCGCGGACGAGUGCAGCCGGCAGUACAACUCCACCAACAUGGGCCUCUGGAGGAAGUGCCACCGGCAGGGCUUCGACCCCGAGAUCGCCGCCCUCAUUCGGAAAGGAGAAAUUGAGCGAUGCACGUACAUCAAAUACCACUACUCCUCAGCAACCAUCCCCAGGAACCUCACUUUCAAUAUCACGAAGACCAUCCGUCAGGAUGAGUGGCAUGCCCUACGUAAGUGCACCUGAGUCUCAGUGGCUGUGACUGUGCUGUGAGGUCCCCUUUGGAGGGAUC
rnacentral:sRNA from 1 species